rnacentral:rRNA from 1 species
UACGGAGGGGGCUAGCGUUAUUCGGAAUUAUUGGGCGUAAAGGGCGUGUAGGCGGCUUUGUAAGUCUUGUGUGAAAGCCCUCGGCUCAACCGGGGAACUGCACGAGAAACUGCAUGGCUUGAGUCCGGGAGAGGAUAGCGGAAUUCCCAGUGUAGCGGUGAAAUGCGUAGAUAUUGGGAGGAACACCGGUGGCGAAGGCGGCUAUCUGGACCGGUACUGACGCUGAAACGCGAAAGCCAGGGGAGCAAACGGG